GAGACCCCAACUGAGAUCUGGGCCCUGUUAUGCCAGGCGCUGAAGAGACCCCAGGCUACAGCAUAACAUCCACGUUUCGCCCCAAAUCAUCCCCUCCUCCCAGCAGGAAGGAAAUGGCUGCAAUGGAGCUGGCUCAGGAGGCACCACAAAAGCAUCUGGCCCCUCUGGGAAAAGAGAGAG